rnacentral:snRNA from 8 species
AUCGCUUUUCGGCCUUUUGGGUCUGAUCAAGUGUAAUAUCUGUUUUUAUCAGUUUAAUAUUUGAUACGUCCCCCAUCGGGGGAGUACAUAUUAAAAGGAUUUUUUGAACAGGGAGUUGGAAAUGGGGGUUGCUCCGUCCGCUCCACGCAUCGACCCGGUAUUGCAGUACUUCCGGGAACGGUGCAACAAUU